rnacentral:tRNA from 1 species
AUUCUAAUAGCUUAUAUAAUAGAGCAUGGCACUGAAGAUGCCAAGGAAGCAGCUUUGCUUUAGAAUG